rnacentral:rRNA from 1 species
GUGCACGCUGGCGGUAGGCCUCACACCUGCAAGUCGGACGGCAGCACCGGAGAGCUUGCUCUCUGGGUGGCGAGUGGCGGACGGGUGAGGAAUACAUCGGAAUCUGCCCAGUCGUGGGGGAUAACGUAGGGAAACUUACGCUAAUACCGCAUACGACCUUCGGGAGCAAGAGGGGGAUCGCAAGACCUCUCGCGAUUGGAUGAGCCGAUGUCGGAUUAGCUAGUUGGCGGGGUAAUGGCCCACCAAGGCGACGAUCCGUAGCUGGUCUGAGAGGAUGAUCAGCCACACUGGAACUGAGACACGGUCCAGACUCCUACGGGAGGCAGCAGUGGGGAAUAUUGGACAAUGGGCGCAAGCCUGAUCCAGCCAUACCGCGUGAGUGAAGAAGGCCUUCGGGUUGUAAAGCCCUUUUGUUGGGAAAGAAAUCUUUCAGGCUAAUACCCUGGGAGGAUGACGGUACCCAAAGAAUAAGCACCGGCUAACUUCGUG